UACGUAGGGGGCAAGCGUUGUCCGGAUUUAUUGGGCGUAAAGCGCUCGCAGGUGGCCCGAUGCGUCGUGCGUGAAAGACCCCGGCUCAACCUCGGGUCUGCAGUCGAUACGGGCGGACUGGAGUUCGGCAGGGGAGACUGGAAUUCCUGGUGUAGCGGUGAAAUGCGCAGAUAUCAGGAGGAACACCGGUGGCGAAGGCGGGUCUCUGGGCCGAUACUGACGCUGAGGAGCGAAAGCGUGGGGAGCGAACAGG
rnacentral:rRNA from 1 species